UGGCGGUGGUUUGAAUCUUACCCGUGCAUCUGAUUAAUUCAUUACGUACAAGGGAAAACAUGAUUGAAUUUCUUAAUAUGGGCCA
rfam:Triticum urartu cultivar G1812 contig815233, whole genome shotgun sequence.